GACGAACGCUGGCGGCGUGCUUAACACAUGCCAGUCGAACGGAAAGGCCCUGCUUUUGCUGUGUGGUCGAGUGGCGAACGGGUGUGUAACACGCGAGUAACCUGCCCCUUACUUUGGGAUAACUUCACGAAACUGGGGCUAAUACCGGAUAGGAUCUCUUGCUGCAUAGGGUGGAAUGGCAAAUUUCGGCGGUUGGGGAUCGGCUCGCGGCUUAUCAGCUGUUUGGUCGGGUUGUGGCGUACCAAGGCUUUGACGGGUAGCCGGCCUGGGAGGGUGACCGGGCACCUUGGGACUGAGAUACGGACCAGUCUCCAACGGGACGCAGCGGUGGAGAGUAUUACACAAUAAGCGGGAGCGUGAUGCAGCGACGCCGCGUGCGGGAAACCGGGCUUCGGGUUGAGAACCGAUUUCGCCUGUGAUGAGGCGUUAGUGACGGUACUGGAUGAAGAAGCCCCGGCUAACUACGUG
rnacentral:rRNA from 1 species